GUGGGGAAUUUUGGACAAUGGGCGAAAGCCUGAUCCAGCCAUGCCGCGUGUGGGAUGAAGGCCUUCGGGUUGUAAACCACUUUUGUCAGGGACGAAAAGGUUCAGGCUAAUACCUUGAACUGCUGACGGUACCUGAAGAAUAAGCACCGGCUAACUACGUGCCAGCAGCCGCGGUAAUACGUAGGGUGCAAGCGUUAAUCGGAAUUACUGGGCGUAAAGCGUGCGCAGGCGGUUCUGUAAGAUAGAUGUGAAAUCCCCGGGCUUAACCUUGGAAUUGCAUUUAUGACUGCAGGACUCGAGUUUGUCAGAGGGGGGUGGAAUUCCAAGUGUAGCAGUGAAAUGCGUAGAUAUUUGGAAGAACACCGAUGGCGAAGGCAGCCCCCUGGGACAUGACUGACGCUCAUGCACGAAAGCGUGGGGAGCAAACAGGAUUAGAAACCCCAGUAGUCC
rnacentral:rRNA from 1 species